rnacentral:misc_RNA from 1 species
GAUGUUUAAAUAUUGUAUGUAUUUGCGUCUUGGACAUUGUUCUAUUGUGGUCCAUAUACUCAGAGAUUUAUUUGCUUUGUUUCUAUGUACCAUGCAUUAGUGGCUAUAUAUAUAUUUUUUAAAAACUUAUUUAAUCGGUUUGAUUUUGAUAAAAAAUUUUUAGUUGAACUGAAUCAAAAUUACCCUUCAAUAAGAAGAGAAAAGAAGAGAAAGCAAGAAAACAAGAGAUGAGCAGGCUCACGUUUCUUGUUGGUGUUGUGACCGG